AAUCAACAAAUGCAGAGGAAUUGUAGAAUGUAGUCCAAUCGUCCUGGGCUGGAGUACUUGUUCACAGGUGCCAGACGUUGGUCGACUCCAUGCAACACAAAUUGUUUCCAUU